UACGUAGGUGGCAAGCGUUGUCCGGAAUUAUUGGGCGUAAAGAGCGUGUAGGCGGCCAAGCAGGUCCGCUGUGAAAACUCGAGGCUCAACCUCGAGACGUCGGUGGAAACCGUUUGGCUAGAGUCCGGAAGAGGAGAGUGGAAUUCCCGGUGUAGCGGUGAAAUGCGUAGAGAUCGGGAGGAACACCAGUGGCGAAGGCGGCACCCUGGACCAGCACUGACACUGAGGCACGAAAGCGUGGGGAGCAAACAGG
rnacentral:rRNA from 1 species